GUGAAGAUGAGGGUCUGAAGAUGUAGAGCUUCUGCUAAAGAUUUGCCUGAGAUGUUGGCUUCCUGUGCUACCGAGCAGCUCUUCAUAGGGAUCCCUGGGAAAGAAAACAAGAACACAACUUCAGAAGAAGAAAAGAUCAGCAGCAAAGAACACAUGGAAAAGGAGUCUUGUACCAACACAGAUGAUGCUGCAUCAAUACAAUAAAGAUAAAAUGAGCUUUAAGCCUCAGUGAGGAGCACAAGACCACCUUGGACAAGGAGUGUCAGAAAAUACAGAAGUGCCCUGAACCAAGACAGAAGAGUCCUAGGAGAGCUGAGGAUCACCUGCUCCAUUGGGAAUGGCCAGUACAGACCUUGUGGCUUCACUUCUGUGCCAGAUGCCAGCAUGUCAACUUGCACACAGUGCUGGGCAAAGCAUGAUCAGGCAGGAGGUACUUGCUGUUGAAGAACCCAUAACUCAUCUUUGCCCGUGUUCUGGCCUGCUGUUUGGGGCUGUCUGGCAAUACUGCAGCUGGAGUACCAAAAAGUAAGUAUGCUUGUUUUCCAGAUAACCCAUCAGAAGAAGCAGUCACUGGAGUUUGCAUUCAUCACCCAUCAGCAAAAGGCUUCAGAAGGAAGGAAGCAGGCCUAAAGCAUGUAAUUUUCUCAGCACAUUUGGACGCACCCUCAUGCUCUGCCUCCAGCAGCCUGUGCUCCCCUCACUGUGGAGCAAUUCCCUGAGGAACAACUGAGCAUGAAUUCUGCUCUUGGGAAUGAGAUCUGGAGAAAACCACAGCUAAGACAGUGCAAGACUUCGUUAAUUUAAGACACAGCAGAAGAAUCCCAGCUCUCAGCAUACAAACAACAGCUCACAUGGCUCCUUAUCCCCUGCUUUUCACCCAGGUCCGUGCUGGGAAGAUCACACUGCUGUGCUGCCAGUGCUGAGAGGCAGCAGCUGACAGUCUUAUUCAUCUCCCAGCUGCAUCACUCCUCUCCUUUCAGUGCAUCACAGCUGGGGAAGGAAGUGUCCUCCUGCUGUUUCCUUCCCUCCCUCACUCCCACCCCCUUUAUAAAUGAUGUUCUUGUACCACUUUGCUCUCUCCUUUUUACAAAAGUGAUGAAAGUAUAACUCCAGCUACUUACACUAAUAUGUUAUAUUUGCGAGGCCAUAAACCACUGUCAAAAAUCAGUAUGA